AGCUAUUAUUUGUCAUCCACAGCAUCAUGAAUGUUCCUGGACGCACCCCCUGGAUACUAGAAUCCUAGUGCCUGUGGGGCUACCUGGACAUGCAUUUUUGUCUGCUUGUGAGCAACUCAUUGUCCACGUGAUGUUAGGACGUCAUUUCAUCACUGGCCCGAUGAUGGAGAUUGCUCCCCACUCCUCAGCAAGGACAGGUUUAUUGCCAAAAGACAGUUCCUUUGAGGCUCAAGCAGCUGCUGUCUUCUGCAGUUGUGGACUCCUGCAGUGUGUCACCACCAGUGUAUGAAUUAAAUAUGAAUGCUGAAGAUAAGGUGAAGAGAUAAAUAACAGUCUAGCUGGAGGAGAUGCACUUAAGCCUGCGCAGUGGAUGUGGUGGGACUCCUUUUUAAUUAGUCACUGUCCGUCAAGUCACUAUCGUGCAAUAACCUGCAGAUGGUUCAGCAGUGGGUGGCAUUAACAUACUCGGCUCUCUCUGGCAUGCAGGUGCCCUGCGCUGUCCUUCCCAUCGUCCCUCUUUGCCAGCAGAUGGCCUUGUUUUUUGUCACUGUCAGGCGAGGUGAGCAAAGCACGCUUGCUGUCAUACAAAACACAUUUGGCUGACUCCCAGUGGGCUUACACAUCUGCCCAGGGUGGGGAGGAAAGACAACUGAGUUCAUUUGAUGUCACUGACUUUUUGCAGAAGUACCAGAUGAAAAAUGUGUCAAGCAGCAGAAUUGAAGCAUCAAAGCUCUUCAGACAAUCUGCCAAUUUGAUUUUUGUUUGCUCUUCUAUGCAGAAUCACAAUCCGAUCACACAAUGUCACUUUCAAGGGAUCUCUGACACUAGUGCAGUAUAGAAAGCCCCCAGGUACUCUGCAUGCAUGUGGACUUGCAUUGUACAAAUAUAUAUAAAGAUGCAGAUGACAUCAAGGUUGCCUGUACUUUAGUAAGACCGAUGAUAUCAUACCACAGUUUCUCAGAAGUUUUGAGAAAGAUAAGACAAUCUAAGUCCUGGAAAAGAAAGAACAGGAAGGUAUGUCAAUGGGAGGGAUACAUAAAGUAAUGUUACUAGUUAAGUCACUUCCUAGAAAACUUACAGGAAAAUCUAGGAAGAUAUAGGAAAUGUUUACAUAGGACUGGAAGGGACCUUCUGUUGCAUGCACUGUCAUAUAAUCCAUGAUACAAACUUAAAACAAAGAAAAAAAAAAAAACACAAAACAAAGGGUCUUCAGUCUUCACCGUGCCUACCAUAUGGCUACUAAAAAAAUUUGCCUUAUUUUCCACUUAAAUAUAUUGAUGGGGAAUUUACUUCCACUUUUAUAAGCCAAUCACAAGCACUGAGA